rnacentral:rRNA from 1 species
GUGGGGAAUUUUGGACAAUGGGGGCAACCCUGAUCCAGCAAUGCCGCGUGCAGGAAGAAGGCCUUCGGGUUGUAAACUGCUUUUGUACGGAACGAAACGGUCCUGGUUAAUACCUGGGGCUAAUGACGGUACCGUAAGAAUAAGCACCGGCUAACUACGUGCCAGCAGCCGCGGUAAUACGUAGGGUGCAAGCGUUAAUCGGAAUUACUGGGCGUAAAGCGUGCGCAGGCGGUUUUGUAAGACAGGCGUGAAAUCCCCGGGCUCAACCUGGGAAUGGCGCUGGUGACUGCAAGGCUGGAGUGCGGCAGAGGGGGAUGGAAUUCCGCGUGUAGCAGUGAAAUGCGUAGAUAUGCGGAGGAACACCGAUGGCGAAGGCAAUCCCCUGGGCCUGCACUGACGCUCAUGCACGAAAGCGUGGGGAGCAAACAGGAUUAGAUACCCGAGUAGUCC